ACACUGAUACCCUUACUGCCUGCUGUUUAUGCUGCAUCAAGUAAGUGUUCAUUCCUGAAAACGCAGUUCGAUCAACCUUUCUAGUUCUUUGAUUUUUCCAUCAGAGAAAAUACCAGUGCAGGUAUCAGAUAAUGGAGAAGAAGCCAAGCUAUGGCUUAACCCAUAUUUUGAAUCCUGAACCUUUAAAUUUGCAGCCAAAGAAAAGAGAGAUCCAUGAUGGAGGACUUGAGUGUGAGAUAUGAAUUGACGGGGGAAGGGCUAAGGAACAUGGGACCAAUUAUGGCCUUUACGGUAAUCAUCUGUCUCAGUGUACUCAUUUUCUCUCCAUCUUUCAGUCCAAUAAUUCAACACUGAUUACACGUUUCAUUGUGAUCAAUUCCAAUUGAGAGCUUUGCUAAACAAGCAAUUGUCAACUUCACAUCAUUUCACGCUCGGGAUCCGAUGGGAAACACUAAGAAGAGUCUUUGGAAUGAUGCUUCAUGAAUUUGUUUCCAUGUCCUCUCUCCAAGUCAAAACAUGUGGGCUUCUUCUCUCUUGUUGGGGGCCCUCAAAAGUUCUAAUAAUGUUAUAGUUAGCAGGUUAGGGAUGCUUACGCUUAUGAUUCUUCAUCAUGCAAGCCGAAGAUACAAACAAAUCUAGUCCAGGGUAAAUUUCAUCUUAAUUUUUUACAGGUUUUUUUUUUCAAUUAUUAUCUUGUAAAUAACUUCUGCUUUCACCAAGAGUUAGACUGUUAACAGCCUAAACCGUUGUUGAAACAGAAGUUAUCCAUAAGAUAUUAAUUGUGAAUAAUUGAUGUUUGUAAGGUGUUAAUUUAAAUUAAAAAGAAAUCAUUGGGUGUCAUGUGAGGAAGAUUGAAAUCAUAAAGGGUGUUGGUAGAAUUUAUCCAAAGAUUUAAAGUAAGACAAAUUUCAACAGUAAAGAUCAGAGAAAUGAUUAUUUAGAUGGGGCAAGAGCUGCCAUACGCAAGUCCAUGAGAAGAAACAAACUAUACUAAAAUAUAUUUGUUGAAACCUAAACCUACAGCAGAAAAGAUGAAGAUGCCUUUUAUAAAGAAAAAUGUGUUUGUUUUCUUCAAAAGGCAAAGACCCCAGUUUCUGAAACACAAGAACAAUAAACAAAUAAGAAAAAAACAAUAAAGAAAUGGGGAAGUGAGCACUGGUAGCCCUUGAAAACUGCAUUUGAUAUGGACAUUAGCAAUCUAAUCUUUAGAAGAGGAAAAAAGGAAAAGAAGAAAAGGGAAAACAGCCUAAGUAGAGAGUCAAAUGUAAGAUCCUGAAAAUGAGGUCCCUUGGGAGACAAUGUUUGAGGUUAGGUUUAGUUUUAAAUUAUUGUUUAUCUGUUGGAAAUUGAGUGUCAUUGGCUGGAAUAGUCUGGGAUUUGGACUGGAAUGGACCAGGUCGGUGCCAAUGACUUGAACCAUUCAUCCACUUCCAAAACCUCUAAAAUGCCCUUCAAUUUUAAUCACAUGAUGAAUCAUUAAUAUUAAUUCCAUGUAUUGCUUUCUACUGUAUGCAUGCUUGAGAGCACAUCAGAGAUCAACAUGUCUGACUUUCUCUUAGCCAAUGUAGUUUGAAAAGCGUACUUAGGUAAUUUGGUUAACUUCCCAAGACAAACUUAUGUGGGAACAUGGUUUGUAGUUUUCUUCUUGCACUGUUAUUAUCAUUGUGGGGGCAACUUGGUUAUCAAAAUUAUUAGACAAGUGCUAGCUGCUUCAAUGGGAAAAAAGUUGCCCAAGCAAAAAGUCUUAGAUCCCUCUCAUUGUCAAUGCAAUGGAAUUUGACCAAAUAAUUUUUCACUUUUACACAAAAAAAAAAAAAAACACCAUUUGAAUAUUUGGCUUUCCUUCCCUAUAUAUUCUACCAACUUCAGCUGCUGGUCCAAACUCUCGUCCCUCUAUCCUUAUUCUCCACCUUUAGCUUUUGUUGUGAAAGAGAGACCAUGUUCUCAAGGGGUUUAGCAGGGUGUCUUUUAUUGAUAUUGCUGAGUGUUUCAGCUCUACAACAUGGAGUCUUGGGAGCAAGGUUUCUAACAGAGAAGUUGGAAGAUCAAGACCAGAAGCCUGAUGAGAAAACCUGGAAGGAAAAUCCUGACAAUGGGACUGUUGGCUUUUUUGCAACUGUUAACAGAGAAGUACCCUCUUGCCCUGAUCCACUGCACAACAGGUAGCAAUGCAAGCAACUGAUAACUAUUUCUAUAAUUUUUGGUGAAGCUGUAUAUAUACAAAGUGGAAGCUGUUGGUUAUAGCUCUUACAAAACCUGGAGACUAUUGUUUUUUGUUUUCUUCUAUUUUAAUUUUCUUAUAUUUUUCAAUUUAUAUAUUCAUAGUUCCUUUUUAGGAAUUCUAAGAAAUGAAACUCUUUGGUUUGUGUGAGACUUGUAUGUGCAGCUGCAAAACUGCAAAAAAUAAUAGGAAAAUUAAAGCAUAUAUAUUGGCU
rnacentral:lncRNA from 1 species